rnacentral:ribozyme from 1 species
GAUGGUGAGAUCAUCGUAAAGCUCGUAGAGCCCGUCAUUGUAGCGGCUCCUCCACUGUCCUUCCGCAUAUUCAGAACUUACACAUACAGAACGGUUACAUAUCUCUGCAAAUAUCUGAGCUUUGGGUAUACGGGGAAACGCAACCUCUUGGGAAGAGGGGUGAUAUGGCUUAAUUGAGCGGA